CGACAUGGCGGACCGUGCAGGGAAGGCCUUUGGCCUUGCCGGGUUUUCCUCGCGUACCGGUUUGCGACCCCUGCACGGCCCGCCACCCCU
rnacentral:antisense_RNA from 1 species